rnacentral:tRNA from 2 species
GGGGACGUAGCUCAGCGGGAGAGCGCUAGACUGAAGAUCUAGAGGUCGUGGGUUCAAAUCCCGCCGUCCCCA